rnacentral:rRNA from 1 species
AACGAACGCUGGCGGCGUGCCUAACACAUGCAAGUCGAGCGUGAAAGUCCCUUCGGGGGCAAGUAAAGCGGCAGACGGGUGAGUAAUACAUAGGUAAUCUACCUUCGAGAUUGGGAUAACCCCGCGAAAGUGGGGCUAAUACCGGAUAAGACCACGUGGCAUAUGCUACGCGGUAAAAGGUGGCUUUUCUUCGGAUUAGGCUAUCACUUGAGGAUGAGCCUGUGGCCUAUCAGCUUGUUGGCGGGGUAAAAGCCCACCAAGGCUACGACGGAUACCUGGUCUGAGAGGACGAUCAGGCACACUGGAACUGAGACACGGUCCAGACACCUACGGGAGGCAG